UGCAAGUCGAACGGAAAGGCCCUGCUUUUGUGGGGUGCUCGAGUGGCGAACGGGUGAGUAACACGUGAGUAACCUGCCCUUGACUUUGGGAUAACUUCAGGAAACUGGGGCUAAUACCGGAUAGGAGCUCCUGCUGCAUGGUGGGGGUUGGAAAGUUUCGGCGGUUGGGGAUGGACUCGCGGCUUAUCAGCUUGUUGGUGGGGUAGUGGCUUACCAAGGCUUUGACGGGUAGCCGGCCUGAGAGGGUGACCGGCCACAUUGGGACUGAGAUACGGCCCAGACUCCUACGGGAGGCAGCAGUGGGGAAUAUUGCACAAUGGGCGGAAGCCUGAUGCAGCAACGCCGCGUGCGGGAUGACGGCCUUCGGGUUGUAAACCGCUUUCGCCUGUGACGAAGCGUGAGUGACGGUAAUGGGUAAAGAAGCACCGGCUAACUACGUGCCAGCAGCCGCGGUGAUACGUAGGGUGCGAGCGUUGUCCGGAUUUAUUGGGCGUAAAGGGCUCGUAGGUGGUUGAUCGCGUCGGAAGUGUAAUCUUGGGGCUUAACCCUGAGCGUGCUUUCGAUACGGGUUGACUUGAGGAAGGUAGGGGAGAAUGGAAUUCCUGGUGGAGCGGUGGAAUGCGCAGAUAUCAGGAGGAACACCAGUGGCGAAGGCGGUUCUCUGGGCCUUUCCUGACGCUGAGGAGCGAAAGCGUGGGGAGCGAACAGGCUUAGAUACCCUGGUAGUCCACGCUGUAAACGGUGGGUACUAGGUGUGGGUCCAUUCCACGGGUUCCGUGCCGUAGCUAACGCUUUAAGUACCCCGCCUGGGGAGUACAGCCGCAAGGCUAAAACUCAUAGGAAUUGACGGGG
rnacentral:rRNA from 1 species